UACGAAGGGGGCUAGCGUUGCUCGGAAUCACUGGGCGUAAAGCGCACGUAGGCGGAUUGUUAAGUCAGGGGUGAAAUCCUGGAGCUCAACUCCAGAACUGCCUUUGAUACUGGCGAUCUCGAGUCCGGGAGAGGUGAGUGGAACUGCGAGUGUAGAGGUGAAAUUCGUAGAUAUUCGCAAGAACACCAGUGGCGAAGGCGGCAUACUGGUCCACUUCUGACGCUGAGGCGCGAAAGCCAGGGGAGCAAAGCGGG
rnacentral:rRNA from 1 species